rnacentral:RNase_P_RNA from 1 species
UUAGUAGUUCGAGUAAUCGCUGGUUAGUAAUAAUCAGAGGAAAGUCCGGACUCCAUAUGGGCAUGGUGCCAGGUAAUGCCUGGGAGGUGUGAACCUACGACUAGUGCAACAGAAAGUAAACCGCCGACUUGUCGGUAAGGGUGAAACGGUGAGGUAAGAGCUCACCAGGCAGUCCAGCAAUGGCUGUGCUUGGUAAACUCCACCAGGAGCAAGAUCAAAUAGGCGUUCGCAUAAUUCGCCCAUAGUUUGAACGCGGGUAGAUCGCUUGAAGUUAGUAGUGAUGCUAACUCUAGAUGAAUGAUUACAUAAAACAGAAUCCGGCUUACGGAAUAACUAAAACC